ACGAACGCUGGCGGCGUGCUUAACACAUGCCAGUCGAACGGAAAGGCCCUGCUUUUGUGGGGUGCUCGAGUGGCGAACGGGUGAGUAACACGUGAGUAACCUGCCCUUGCCUUUGGGAUAACUUCAGGAAACUGGGGCUAAUACCGGAUAGGAGCUCCUGCUGCAUGGUGGGGGUUGGAAAGUUUCGGCGGUUGGGGAUGGACUCGCGGCUUAUCAGCUUGUUGGUGGGGUAGUGGCUUACCAAGGCUUUGACGGGUAGCCGGCCUGAGAGGGUGACCGGCCACAUUGGGACUGAGAUACGGCCCAGACUCCUACGGGAGGCAGCAGUGGGGAGUAUUGCACAGUGGGCGGAAGCCUGAUGCAGCGGCGCCGCGUGCGGGAUGACGGCCUUCGGGUUGUAAACCGCUUUCGCCUGUGACGAAGCGUGAGUGACGGUAAUGGGUAAAGAAGCACCGGCUAACUACGUG
rnacentral:rRNA from 1 species